UAGGGAAUAUUGGACAAUGGGGCAACCGUGCAUCCAGCAAUGCCGCGUGAGUGAUGAAGGCCUUAGGGUUGUAAAGCUCUUUUACCCGGGAUGAUAAUGACAGUACCGGGAGAAUAAGCUCCGGCUAACUCCGUGCCAGCAGCCGCGGUAAUACGGAGGGAGCUAGCGUUGUUCGGAAUUACUGGGCGUAAAGCGCACGUAGGCGGCUAUUCAAGUCAGAGGUGAAAGCCCGGGGCUCAACCCCGGAACUGCUUUGAAAUCUAGAUAGCUUGAAUCCAGGAGAGGUGAGUGGAAUUCCGAGUGUAGAGGUGAAAUUCGUAGAUAUUCGGAAGAACACCAGUGGCGAAGGCGGCUCACUGGACUUGGUAUUGACGCUGAGGUGCGAAAGCGUGGGGAGCAAAACA
rnacentral:rRNA from 1 species